CUCUCCUCUGGAGUUUUGCAGUGAGCCUAGGACAUGGGUAAGACCGUAACCCAUAUGGAAGGAGAGAGAAGAAUACUGGAUGUGGCUGUGUUAUCUUGAAUGAGAGUGAUGUGUCAACUGAUGGUAGUUAGCUGUGAAACAAAAGGUGGACAUUAUGCAGUUAAGAAUCCCAAUGCUUGCCUGUUUCUCCCUGGCCCUAUGAACAAGAGGCAGAGUGUAGGUUUUAUAAGCAACAGGAGUAAAAUCAAAUUUCUAUGGCAAAGAGGGGAGAGAAAAAAAAAAAGAUACUGAGCGCAUCCCAGAGUGAAGAGUCCUUGAGGCAACUGCCAGAACAGCAAGGUGGAAGAGGACCUUUUUGAUGAAUUUUGAACAGUUAGGAUGAAUUGCCUUUGAAGCUCAUUGAAACAUUUUCAAAUACAUACACUGGCAUGAAGUCUUCUGAACCUUCAGGAAACCCCUCUGUCAAUGGUGCCCAACAUCCAUGGGCCAAUGGGAGCAGUCUGGCAAGCAACACAAUACAAUGUCUCUCUGUGUCCUUUACAAAAAUUUCUUUGACUUUCUUGUGAUUAUGAACAGCAUUGGCCUAAAGGAACAUUUGAGUUCACUACAAAACCAGCAUUUCUAUUUAUGUGUGAAGCAACUGUUAUUUCAAAACAGUUUUCUGCUUUGCAGCAGUGAUUCACAGAAAAUAGAUGGGUGGAAGACUAUAAAUAUGUAUGCUGAAAUGAGUCUGUCUCACCAUCUCAUUUCAAAAUUAAAGCAUGCUGCUUUAUAAAAGAAUAGGCACUAAAGGAAAGUCCAAGAUAUUGGAUAAUGGAAGCUCACCUCUUUAUUCAAAAAUGGACCUAAGCAGUCAAUACUGUGAUGCUUCUGUGAUAUAGAAGUUUUGAACAAAGGUGCAUUACCUUAAAUAUAAUUUAGUGUGAUUUUUGGCAAAAAAAUUCCUAACAUGCUGGAAAGUGGUGGUAUUGGUUGUCACUAUGUGAAUAGGUGCUAGGGUGUUGAUUUUGAUUCAGUCUUGUGUUGUAUUGCCUCCAACCAUCUUGUCAGAUAAAAAGACAGAUACUGGGGUUAUAGCAGUCUUAGGAUUAAACACACCUCUCAUCCUCAUGCUGUUUUAUAAAUGCCUAGAUCUGAGAAGGCGUGGAUUUGAUUUUAUUUUCGCCCAUGUCUGUAUUGAGUAUGUUAAGGGGAAGACAAAAUAUUUUCCUGGUUUGCUUCAGAAAAUGGUUGACUUAUUCAAAUAACAACUGCUAUAGGCAGACUUUAAUGGUAACUGUUUCAAAAGUUUUAUUUUUUUUCCCUGAUAUGUUUUGAAUGGUUUGUGCUUUUUAUGCAUUCACAGAUUCAUUUUUACAACUAUUGUAACAGAUUUUCACAGAAAUUAGUACUAUAUUAGUAUUGAUUAGUAGCAAAUGCAAUGCCAUAUGUAAGCAGCAUGCUGACUGCUCCCAAACAGAUAACUAUUCUCUAUAGGAAAACAAGGGAAAUAUAAAAACAAGUUUCUGUACACUACUGCACAAGUGUUGGUGCUCUUAAGCUUUCUGAAUAUUGAUUGAAAAGGAGAAUCUGGGUUUGUGGAGCCUCACCAGCUUCCUGCUCUGAUGCAAAUAACCUGAAUGACCUUGGCACCACAUUGAGCAUCCCUGCUUUCACCUAAAGAGUAGAGUAGUAACAGACUUGAGGCCAGGUGUGCAGUAACAUAGCUUACACAGUCACCUUCUGUCUUAUCAAUAUUAUCUGGAGGGAAUACAGAUACUACUGCAUGACAAUAUUCUUUUUCCCCAUUGCUCUACGCACUAUCCUAGGAUGAAGUAGACAGUUUCAGAAACCAAU